rnacentral:lncRNA from 1 species
UAAACUUGAACAUUAAGAAAAGUACUGUUAGUACUUCUGUUCUGUGACAUAGGCACUACAUUGCUGUUUUUUUAGAAUUGUAGAAGUCUGUUUUCCUCAGAAAUGAUGCACCUCAGAUGCCUGUGAAUAUCUCCAGGCUUUCUAUCAGGUGUUCAAUAGAAGCUGCUGCAUUUAGAUCAGCUUGGAUUUAAUUUGUUUUUGAUCAUUUAUGGUACACGCGCUGUUUGGAAAAGUAACUGAAAGUUUCUCUAGCUCAUGUACUUCUAAGGGAGACGAAUAACUGAUCUUUCCUUCCUUUGGAGGGAUCUCUUGAGCCUGUGUGGAAAACAAAGAGUUACAGCAGUGCUGACUCUUUUCCUUCCCACCUACCUUGAACGCAGACUGGCUCUCUCUUUAAGCAGUAUGCCGAAGGUGAAAUGAGAGAGGCAAUAGGAAAAAGUGCACCUUAUUCAAGUUCCUUUCAGGAUUUUGGUGAUUAGAAUUGCCAGAAGCAAGUCCUCGAAGCAUAAAGAUGCAGUCUUUCCCCUCCAAACGGAUCCCUGUGGUAUACAGCAUACCAGCUCCCAAUGAUUCUGAACAUGGAUCUGGGCAGAGUCCGAAUCUUCACCAUCUCCAGUCUCCUCAAGAAGAAAUCUCAUAUGUGCAGCAUUCUUUCUUCAAACAGAUGAAUUUGCAUUUCUGGAGAAGGUGGCUUCUAGGAAUGUUACCUCUGAUUUCCUUAGCAGUCACUGUACUCGUGUUGGUCCUGUACUAUUCAUUAUGUAAGUGCCUUUCCUCAAUAACACCAUUUAUUUUUCAAUACCCAUUUAAGUGCUGAAUCCAUUCCGUAUUUUGACAGGUACAACUUAAAAGUUAGGCUGAUGAGUUAAUGUUAAUUCAAAGGCAGUAACUAUGUGUUGAUAAACAGUAGUUAGAGAAUCAUGAAGGUGUGGAUUGUGCUUGGACACUUGAUAGAUUCCAUAGUCAGUAGGGCUGCAGUUAAGGGAGUUAGCGCCCGCAUGCCAUUGCAAUUCAGUCAUCUUUUCAAUGGGAUUUGGAUCCUAUAGAAACUCGCCCUUUUAAAAUCCCAGCCUAAAAUCAUAAAAAUUUCUAUCCUUGUGAGCCAGUAAUGUUUUAGCAAAUUGAAAGUAUAGGUUGAAAUCCAACACUGCCAACAUUGCCAACAUUUGUGCUCUACUCCCCUACAAAUACAGUAUUAUUCUCUAUUGAGUAUUAUCCUCAGCCAUUGAAUAGCAGUAGUUUGAUUCAUUAACAUGCCCUAUUUUCACAUCAUUCUGUUGAGUAACAUCAAGGUUAAAUCAGUUCUUUCACAAGCAUCUGGUUCUUGAACGUUUGGAGCAAGGCUAAGCUAUUAACUUUGCUAAUGCAUGAUCCUGUUUCUGUAGCUCCAGCAUUCUCCUUUAUCUAUAUUGGUGGAAGUGUAGAAAUACCUAACUUGACCUAUAGAAGUGACCUCACUGAUCCAAAGUCACAGAAAUUUAUAAUGCAAGCAGAAGCAAUCCAGAACUAUGUAAGUACUCACAGGUGACAUAGCCUAUAACUCGAAAACAUUUUAUCACUGGUUUAGUUGAAAUCCUUUCUUCAAAAUUCAAAGGUAUAGUAGAAAGCUGAGGUUUGAGUCAUGGGUAUUUGUUCUUUUCUUUCAAAGUAAUAAAAUCUAGGAUUAGUCUGGGAGAGAGUCA